rnacentral:rRNA from 1 species
AUGUCACAAGAGCAACAACCAGUUCUAGUCGAUGCUACAGGCUACAGCCAUUCACACGCGAGCUGGAACAGGCGGCGGCGUCGUCGAGAAAUGCUACAACCAUGCACCAUAGAAGCUACAACCAUGUUCGCCAGAGCUGCAACCGUUGGUGAUGGUACAACCGGCCAAGCUGGAGCCGGCAGCGCCGUCAUCGAGAAAUGCUACAACCGUGCACCACAGAAGCUACGACCAUGUUCGCCAGAGCUGCAACCGUUGGCGAUGCUACAACCGGCCAAGCUGCAACCGGCGGCGCCAUCGUCGAGAAAUGCUACAACCGUGCACCACAGAAGCUACAACCAUGUUCGCUAG